GACCAGUGGGGUACAGGAGUCUGGUAGAGGGCAGAUCUACUAGCCACUGAAGAAGCAGGUUUCUGUUCGCUGAGUGACCAGAGCAGGGGCUGCACUAGAGUAAUCAGGAACCUGCUAAAACCAAUUAAGGCAAACAGG